GGCUCUGUGGCACAAUGGACAGCAUGUUGGACUUCUUGUUAAGCUCUGAAGACGUGAUUCAAAGGUUGUGGGUUUGAGUCCCACCAGCGUCA
rnacentral:tRNA from 1 species